CAGCAUAUCACAUAUGAAAAGGCACUGGAGAUGAUUGCGGCUGGCAUGGGUGACGACUUUAAUGAGAGCAACCCG
rnacentral:ribozyme from 1 species